CAGGUGGGCCGGGCGACCGCGCGGCGUCGUCGUGAACGACGGCGUCUCGAGGAAAGUCCGGGCUCCGCAGAGCAGGACGGUGGGUAACACCCACUCGGGGUAACCCGCAGGACAGUGCCACAGAAAACAGACCGCCCGCCGCGAGCGGGUCAGGGUGAAAAGGUGGUGUAAGAGACCACCAGCGCGCCGGGUGACCGGCGCGGCUCGGUAAACCCCGUCCGGAGCAAGGCCAUGCAGGGCGCGUUCGAGGGCUGCUCGCCCGAGCGUCCGGGUAGGCUGCUCGAGCCGUGCGGCAACGCACGGUCUAGAUGGAUGGUCGUCACCGCGGUGCGGGUAACCCGCCCGCGGCACAGAACCCGGCUCACAGGCCCACCUGUCCC
rnacentral:RNase_P_RNA from 1 species